rnacentral:lncRNA from 1 species
CCCAUCUCCACUUCACCAUGGCAGUCUCUUACCAGUCCAGUGCUGACCGGUGUGCUCAGAGAAUGUCUGACCAGUGUCUCCAGCUUCAGGUGACAUUUAAAAAGUCCUAAUUGUCUCAGCUUGGGCUACAAUAGUGUGGCCCUGAUGAGGGAGCAGGCUCUGAGAAGGAGACCCUGGAGUGGCCAGCCUAGGAGGCCAAUCUUCCUCCUAGUCUAUGGUGAUCACAGAGGAGUCCCAGGUGUUGAGAAAGACUGCACUGGGCACACAGCCCAGCUCAGAACUGCUUGGCGGGGACAUUUUCAUGACAUGCGCCUUAGAGCCUGGAUAUAGGGAGAACUGAGGCUCCAGACCCAGCCUCUAAGUCACUACCAAGAUUCCCCAGCUGACGUCCAAUUCCUUCCACCACUGUGGACACAGCUCAGGAAGGCCUCAGGGCAGCAGGCCGGCUCUCCCCACUACAACUCGACCCUGCUGAGGACAUCGGUGUGGUUCUGGGAGAAGACUGUCCCAGCAGGUCGCCUGAGCCCCAGUGUCACCCACUGCUCCCCCACUGUUGUUGCAGGGUCUACGAAGGGGCUUCUUGUGAAACCAGGACGCUCUGGACUUCGGAACCAGCAGCCUGCUGUUCAGGUUUAGGCCGCUGAACAGCAAUUGAUCUGCAGGAGGUGGUCCUUGGGAGAAUUCAUGGAGAAAAAUCCACCCUUAAUCAUGCUAUUUAUAAUUCCUUCACAUGCUUCGAGGAGGACUCAGGACAAUGAGAAGCUCAGCCCAUCCUCCCCAGGGAGGUCCUUGCUUUAUAAGCUCACUUGUCAUUGUGUUUUGAAGCCCAUGGAUUUGUACGGCAUGUAACUGACCGAGGGACCUUGGCAGCUUUACAGAGGAGCGCCGAUCUCUGUCUCAUCCACCAGGCAGUCAUCAGGCCCUGUCUUCAGUACCAUCAAGGACUGGGGACUCUGUCUCCCUUUCCGGUUGAAAGAAAAGGCUGUCCUGACCCCACCCGGCCUUUCCUACAGUCCUCGUGAUGAGCUGGAGCCCACACUCUGGGGUCCUUGACCCUCACCACCGACACCAUAAUUUCUUCCUUUAUCUAAGGCAAACACAGCCCCCUUCCCUCACGGGUGUUACUCUGUCUCUGCCAACCACCCUCCUCCUUUGUUCUGACUUAUUCAUGGGACAUGAGUUGUGGCUCAUUUGGAGCCUCUGGGAUUGCCUCAGGUGAGGAGCCUCAGCUUUUGUUUCCGUGUAACCUACCUUUAGGGUGUCUUCCUGUAUGCUCCAUGGGUUAUAGCCCCCAUACUCUACUGUCCAUAGAUAGCUGCUGGUGGUAUAAAGGUGAGCAUAGCUGGUU